rnacentral:rRNA from 1 species
AAUCUGCUCUGGCAUGAGGAAACAUUGAUUUGUUGAGGAGGAAUAAUGGGUCUUUUUUGUAGCAAUUCUUGGAGUCUUUCCCUGAUUUUUUGCACACACGCUGAGAAAAAUCCAACCUUCAACCUAUCAAAAUAUGGUGGCCAGAUUCAUCAUAUUGUAUUUUUUAUGAUUUUAGGAAGCCGAAAGAAUAGGAAAAAUCAUAAAAAAUUCAAAAACGCUCAGAAUGCCAAACUGCUUACUGGAAUCCUCCUCUAAAAUCAUGGAAUGAAUUUAGGGACACAAAAAUGGAAAAAUGAACAAGCUAAUUUUUCCGGAGUGUAGGACGAUGCGCAGCUAGCCUUAACUGGCUAGGUCGUGCCUCCGGUGCUGUUACUUUGAAGAAAUUAGAGUGCUCAAAGCAAGCCUACGUUCUGGAUACAUUAGCAUGGGAUAACCUCAUAGGAUCUCGGUCCUAUUCUGUUGGCCUUUGGGAUCGGAGUAAUGAUUAACAAGGACAGUCGGGGGCAUUUGUAUUUCAUAGUCAGAGGUAACAUUCUUGGAUUUAUGAAAGACAAAAAACUACGAAAGCAUUUGCCAAGAAUGUUUUCAUUAAUCAAGAAUGAAAGUUGGGGGCUCGAAGAUGAUCAGAUACCGUCCUAGUCUCAACCAUAAAUGAUGCUGACUAAGGAUUGGCGAAUGUUACUUAUAGGAUUCUGCCAGCACCUUAUGAGAAAUCAAAGUCACUGGGUUCCGGGGGGAGUAUGGUCACAAGGCUAAAACUUAAAGGAAUUAAUGGAAGGGCACCACUAGGAGUGGAGCCUGCGGCAUAAUUUAACUCAACACGGGGAAACUUACUAGGUCCAGACAUAGUAAGGAUUGACAGACUGGGAGCUCUUUCUUGAUUUUAUGGGUGGUGGUGCAUUGCCGUUCUUAGUUGGUGGAGUGAUUUAUCUGGUUAAUUCUGUUAACGAACGAGACCUUAGCCUGCUAACUAGCUAUGCGGAGGUGACCCUCCAUGGCUAGCUUCUUAGAGGGACUAUGGCUGUUUAGGCCAAGGAAGUUUGAGGCAAUAACAGGUCUGUGAUGCCCUUAAUGUUCUGGGCCGCAUGCAUGCUACACUGAUGUAUUCAACGAGUUUAUAGCCUUGGCUAACAAGCUCGAGUAAUCUUUAAAAUUUCAUCGUGAUGGGGAUAGAUCAUUGCAAUUGUUGGUGUUCAACGAGGAAUUCCUAGUAAGCACGAGUCAUCAGCUCGCGUGGACUACGUCCUUGCCCUUUGUACACACCGCUCGUCGCCCCUACUGAUUGAAUGGUUCGGUAAAGUGUUCGGAUCAUGGUGACGUAGGUGGUUUGCUACCGGCGACGUCGUGAGAAGUCCACUGAACCUUAUCACUUAGAGGAAGGAGAAGUCGUAACAAGGUUUUCGUAGGUGAAUUUGCGGAAG